rnacentral:tRNA from 1 species
AUCUGGUGGGCUCAGUUGGUAGAGCAUGAGACUCUUGAUCCCAAGGUUGUGAGUUCAAGCUCCACAUUGGAUG